rnacentral:lncRNA from 1 species
UUGGUAUCGAAUACAUGUGUUAGAACGUAAAAUUGUAAACAACGUUAACCGGCUAUGGUGUUUUGUGUUGCAUACAACUGUAAUACUGGAUCAGGUCAGGGAUUAUGUUUGUUUACAUUUCCGAAAGACCAACAAAGACGAAAGAUUUGGACACGAAAGGUGAAGAAGCAAAAUUAAAUUUCGUUCAACGGAGCAUUCCAGAUUAUGACCCCAAACACUUUGAUUUUGAUCAAUUUGUUAUUGAUGCAAUGAUUGCCUCGUUCAUGACAUUCACACCAAAUCAGAAUAAGACUGAACGCAAAUGUUAUGACUGUUUAAUUAUGACAAGAUUGUUUAAUUAUGACAAGACGGCAGGAACAGACUUCUGCCCUUCCUGCAGGGAGCCAGCCCAAGUAUGCAUCUAGAACAUAGCCAUAGGAAAAUGACGGAGAUUAGAGGUAUCUACAUUACAAAAUCAUAUAUUUCAUUAUUCGUAAGGCAUAUUUGGUUCUUAAAUUAAAGCAGGGUAGGCAUCAUUUGUGUUUAUAAUUUGGUUAGGAUUAUUUCUAUUGAAGCUCGAUCUAAAUAGACUGGUUUAAACGAUAUUUUAACUUCGAGGCUAUAAAAUGUUUAGAAGUCAUAGCAUACAAUGAAUGAACACAAGUGUGUUACUUGCAGUUACAUGUACGACAGACCAAAUACAGACAUUUGAAAUGUUAUCUAAGACGGAUAACAAAAUAAUGGAAGGUUUGAAAGUCAAUCACUGAUCUUUUUCUGUAAAAGGGGGCCGGGAGCUUAUAUAUACCAGGAAAACAUAAAACCUUCAAAAAAUAAUUUGCUGAUAGGUUGCCGUCUGAUUUAUGCAUAUAUAGUAUUAAAAAAAUAAUUUGUUUAUAGGUUGCUGUCUCCUUUAUGUAUAUAUAUAUAUAUAGUAUUGUAUAAAAUAUAUAAGGGUUCGGCGGAACACAGUGUUUCUUUCGCCUACUUUUGCUGUUAAUUGCAGGCUCAACAAAAAUGAGGGGAAAAAUAAUUAAAAAAUCCACUUGAUUUUAUCUUUAUAUUGUGAGCAGCUUCUGUCCAAGUUUGGUAAAAACCCUGGAUAGAUAAUGAAUCUAAUAAAUAUUUAAAAACUUGAACUGCAGACUGUAUGUAAUGUUAACUGGCAAAAACACUAAGUCUAUUUUACAAGUAAAAUACGGAGAAAAUGGAUUAUUUUUAAACAAAAUUUACUUCUAUAUUCUAUGUAUUCUCUUAUGAUCAUGAGCUGCUGUAUCUUGAUGCUUCUGUCCAAGUUUGGUAGAAAUCCAGGCCAAUUUAAGAAAGUUAUUGAUAUUUUACAUGUUUUAAAAACUUUAACCAGAGUGAAUAUUUGUGGACGACGACGAUGCCGCCGACCGAAUGCAGCAUCGCUAUGUCUCAAUUUUUCAACAAAAGUCGAAGGCUCGAUAAAAAUGAUAUAAAAUGUACUUCACCUACAGUGUACAUGUCAGUAUAAAACCUUCAAUGAGAUAAACCUUAACAGAAACAAAACAACAAGGCUGAUAGUUUAGUCUUUGAUGCAUGAUUUUUUUUAUUAGUUGCAAGUGGCUUUGAACUAGCUGUCAGAUAACUGUGAGUACUCUCAGAUCUGUUCAUUGUGUCUUUUUGUGUAGGGAUGUAUAAGUACCUGGCCACGUCCACUUGUAUUUUUGUCCAUCUGAUGGGUUAAGCCUUUUUCAACUGAUUUUUAUAGUUCGUUCUUUUGUUGUACUGUUAAACCACUGUCCAAGGUUAGGGAGGGUUGGGAUCUCGCUAACAUGUUUAACCCAGCCACAUUAUUUAUGUUAUGUACCUGUCUCAAGUCAGGAGCCUAUAAUUCAGUGGUUGUCUUUUGUUAAUGUCAUCACAUCUUUUUUUUAUAUUGUAUACAACUAUCAAGUCAAUUUACAGAUUUUAAGAAUGAGCCUAAUCCAACUCUGUAUGGCAAUCAUUAAAUAAUGCCCCCCCCCCUUUUCAUAAAAAAAGAAUAAUAAGAAUUAAGAAAGAAAAAGAAAAGAUUAAAAUGUCAAUUGUUCUUGAACAAUUGAGAGGUCUUUCCUUUUGUAAUGUAAAAUACAUGUUCCAAUAGACGUAGAAUGUACUGAAAAGCUUUAAAACACACUGAAAAUCCUUUAAAUUAGGUCAAAAACACAUAAUUCGCUAUAUAGGACGACCUUAACCUUUGACCUUUUGACCUUUGUCAAGGUCAUUAGUCCCCAAUGUCAUUGCUGAAGACCCCAUGGGUCUAGGACCUUUGGUUAUAUAGUAAAAGCUGAUUUUGUCUUUUCAGAAACCUAAAUCAGGGGUUAUGCCCCUUACAGAAAAGUCAAACCUCUUUGGUCAAAAUGUAACAAAGUUGCGCCUAAAUAACCCAAACAUUUUCCACUAUUCAAAACUUCUGUAAGUAUAAUGGUUUCUGAGAUUAUCCCAUAACAAGGUGUUAGGUCAAAGGUCAAGGUCAACAUACACAUUUGACCUUGAGGUAUUUUUCAAAGUCACAUGAAUUGAUGAUGAAUGGUGAAGAUCCUAGGUGUUUACGACCUACGGUUUCUGAGUUUUGGUGGCCAACCGACACCGGUUAAUUUUCAUAGGGGCAUAACCCUACCAAUGAGUCGUUGAAUCUUUUCGAUCCAAAUGUAACGAAGAACCGGUGUCUGGUCCUGAACAAAUUUCACCCUUUGUUUUUUUUCUACCUAUUACGGUUACGGUGUUGGAACGAUAACAAGGUUUUUGGGUUUCGGAGGGAUUACUCCGAACCGACAAAAUAUUUCGACUAACAGGGUGAGUUCUGGAUAGGUAUUCAUGACACCGAUACAAAGUGUGAACAUGAAAGCGACACGUCUUACGGUUAAGGCUGCUAACUUCGUCAAAGUUUGGCGGAAAAAGAAUAAUAAUAAUAAUAAUAAUAAUAAUAAACAGAAGAAAUACAGUAAGGUCUUUCCCUUUUGAAAAAGGAGAGACCUUAAUAAUUGGAUUCAGAGAUAUGAAAGACUUUUUUUAUUAGUUGUCAGUAACUGCCAGUACAUUUAGAUCAGUAAUUAGUCUUUUUGUGGUUGGGAUAUACAUGUACAAGUACCCGGCUACGUCCUCUGUGUGUCAGGAGCCUGAAAUUCAGUGGAUGUUGUUUGUUAAUUUGUUACAUAUAUUUGUUUUUCGUUCAUGUUUUGUACAUAAUUUAGCCAUCAGUUUUCUCUUUUGAAUUGUUUUACAUUUGUCAAUGGGACCUUCUAUAGCUUACUAUGUGGUAUGGGCUUAUUUAGAAAUAAGAAGAUGAGACAUGAUUUCCAAUGAGACAUCUCUCCACCAGAGACUAAAUGAUGCAGAAAGUACAUAUUAUGGUGUUAUCAUUUAAAAAAAUCCAUUAGGAGUCUGGCAUCCAAUGAAAGUUGUCCAUAAUUAUUAACCAUGCUGAAAGAUUCAAGCUAUGUUGUUCCUAUGCAAAUCAAAUUGUUUUUUUCAAUUGAACAAGACUAAUUCUCUUUUUAUUUAUUUUUAAAGGUAAUGUGCAUGAACUUAUGGAAGUAUCCUUCAUACAAAAGUGGCUUAGAUAUAAUUUUUACUGUUAUUAUGUAGCAGCAGUUGAUAAAAGACUGGCUGAGCCACCUCUACUAGCAGAUCAGGCAAACAGACAAGAAAAGGAGAC